UACGUAGGGGGCUAGCGUUGCUCGGAAUCACUGGGCGUAAAGGGCGCGUAGGCGGACUUUUAAGUCGGAGGUGAAAGCCCAGGGCUCAACCCUGGAAUUGCCUUCGAUACUGGGAGUCUUGAGUUCGGAAGAGGUUGGUGGAACUGCGAGUGUAGAGGUGAAAUUCGUAGAUAUUCGCAAGAACACCAGUGGCGAAGGCGGCCAACUGGUCCGAUACUGACGCUGAGACGCGAAAGCGUGGGGAGCGAACAGG
rnacentral:rRNA from 1 species